rnacentral:rRNA from 1 species
UACGUAGGGGGCAAGCGUUGUCCGGAUUUAUUGGGCGUAAAGAGCUCGUAGGCGGCUUAGUAAGUCGGGUGUGAAACCUCCAGGCUCAACCUGGAGACGCCACCCGAUACUGCUGUGGCUAGAGUCCGGUAGGGGAGCGUGGAAUUCCUGGUGUAGCGGUGAAAUGCGCAGAUAUCAGGAGGAACACCAGCGGCGAAGGCGGCGCUCUGGGCCGGUACUGACGCUGAGGAGCGAAAGCGUGGGGAGCAAACAGG